UUACGGCCAUAUCGCGUUGAAUUACCGGUUCCCGUACGAUCAACUAAGUUAAGCAACGCCGAGCUUGGUCAUUAUCUAGAUUCGUGAUCGCUUGCGAAUAUCAAGUGCUGUAAG